rnacentral:rRNA from 1 species
CGGGACGGGUGAGUAGUGUCUGGGAAACUGCCUGAUGGAGGGGGGUAACUACUGGAAACGGUAGCUAAUACCGCAUAACGCGCAAGACCAAAGAGGGGGACCUUCGGGCCUCUUGCCAUCGGAUGUGCCCAGAUGGGAUUAGCUAGUAGGUGGGGUAACGGCUCACCUAGGCGACGAUCCCUAGCUGGUCUGAGAGGAUGACCAGCCACACUGGAACUGAGACACGGCCCAG